CGUUACACACCGCCCGUCACACCACGAAAGCCUGUUGUACCUGAAGUCGCCCAAGCCAACCGCAAGGAGGCAGGCGCCCACGGUAUGGCCGGUGAUUGGGGUG
rnacentral:rRNA from 1 species